rnacentral:lncRNA from 1 species
UCUUGAAGAUAACAAUAACUCAAGAUUUGAAUUGCCAUAGUUUGAAAAUGUUUGCAUAGAAUAUGGAAUGGCAAUUGGUUGGAAAGAGAUUUGAACAAGGAAGGUUGGAAACUUCCUCCUUUUCUUUCUUUUCCCUUUCUUGUCUUUCCUCUUCUUGUUCUCUUCUCUCUUUUUCUUCUCUCUUUCUCUUCUCUUCUUCUCUCCUCUCUUCUCUUCUUAUUCCCUCUCUUCUCUCUUCUUCUUCUCUUCUUUUCUGUUCUUCUCUCUCUUUCUUUUCUUCUUCUCUCCUCUCUUCUCUUCUCCUUUCCUCUUGUAUUCUCUCUUUUUUUCUCUUUCUCUCUUCUUAUCCUUGAUCUCUUUAAGUUUUGCCCCAAAUUCUAACUCUCUCCUAAGAAACCCAUGAUCACUUAAACUCCUAAGAAACAUUUUUCCAUUUUCAAUACAAUCUUUAAUUAGUUCUAGGUUUCUUUUAAUGCUUGAAGGCACAAACUUUCUUCUCA